rnacentral:lncRNA from 1 species
CGGCCGCUCGCGGGGUGCGCCGGGGGCUCCGAUGGGAACCGAGCGCGGGGGGCCCGGGACCACACAGGUGAGCCCCGCCCGCGGGCUCCCAAUCCACCGAGUUCCCCUAUCCCACGAUCCCGCCCGCCAUCCCCUCCCCCUCGCUCCUCCACCCCAGCUCCGAAGCACUUUCCCAAGCCCGAAGGAGCCCUCGCUGCACCCCGAACCCGUUCUCCGCGUCCUGCUUUCUCCGAAAGGGAAAAAAAAGGAGAGAAAGAGAGAGAAGCAAGCAGAUGCGGCGCAAAGCGGGGCGCAGGACGGCAAGGGGCCGCUUCCAGCCUGGAGGGACUUUUCUUGGAAAGGUGGAGACCCCCGGAGGAGUGCGACUCCCCAAGGGCCCGAUGCCCUGGAGCGAAAAGGCGUUCGCUGGUCAGCCUUGCUGCCAGAAAAUUUAGCAAACUUCGGGCAGAUCCUCCCACCUGGGGCGAGAGCUCUGGCUGGCCUGGGGCUCAGCCCCGGGACCUUUCCUUUCACACUUUAAGAGCCUCAAGGCACUUUUUUCGUGGAAACCAGGCCAGCGCGAGGACAACUU